rnacentral:rRNA from 1 species
GAUGAACGCUGGCGGCGUGCCUAAUACAUGCAAGUCGAGCGAACAGACGAGGAGCUUGCUCCUCUGAUGUUAGCGGCGGACGGGUGAGUAACACGUGGAUAACCUACCUACAAGACUGGGAUAACUUCGGGAAACCGGAGCUAAUACCGGAUAACAUGUUGAACCGCAUGGUUCAACAGUGAAAGACGGUCUUGCUGUCACUUAUAGAUGGAUCCGCGCCGCAUUAGCUAGUUGGUAAGGUAACGGCUUACCAAGGCAACGAUGCGUAGCCGACCUGAGAGGGUGAUCGGCCACACUGGAACUGAGACACGGUCCAGACUCCUACGGGAGGCAGCAGUAGGGAAUCUUCCGCAAUGGGCGAAAGCCUGACGGAGCAACGCCGCGUGAGUGAAGAAGGUCUUCGGAUCGUAAAACUCUGUUAUUAGGGAAGAACAAAUGUGUAAGUAACUAUGCACGUCUUGACGGUACCUAAUCAGAAAGCCACGGCUAACUACGUG